GUUUUCAGUCUGAGUCAUACUCCAAACAGGUAGAGUAGAAAGUAAAUUCGUUAGGGUAUUUAUGGGCUGAAGGUUUAAACUUCAGCCUUUUUU
rnacentral:ncRNA from 1 species